AAACUUAGUAUUUUGUCUUAAAAGG
rnacentral:piRNA from 1 species